AGUACGAAUAAAAAAUCAUUAUUUUAAGAGUAUUCAGUUAACGAGACUAUGUUUAUUUUGCCUUAUUCAUGUCUUGUUAGGUGCUAUUUUAAGUAACACAAACUUAUGGUUUAUUAAAAGUGCUCAAGAAUUAUACACGUAUGUGAUAUGUAGGAUAACCAUUAUAAUGGACGGAAAAACUUAAUUCUCAGAAAACUAGAAGUUUACACUUUUUUCUAUGGGAUAAAUGAAAAGGUUUGCAGAGGAACAUUUCCUUAUUAUACUUGAUAUAUUGAAGAUAAUUUAAAAUGUAAAAUGGACGAAUGUUUAACAACAUAUAUAUAGUACAUGGAUGUCAGGACGAGACCUACAGACUGUUAAAGGGCAGUUCACAAGGUUACAGACAAAAGGAAAAAAUGUUAACCAGCCUCAUUAUUCCCAUUAUUCUCACUGCCACACGAAAGAAAUAUUGCACUGGAAGACGGGCUAUCGUACAAAGAUUUUGAUCAUACAUAAAGAGCAAGAAGCAGGAAUCUUCAGGUAUAACAACUCUGAAAACAAUGGAUACCUCCCCAGCGACACACCAACAAAAGCUGCUAUCCUUAACAACCAAAUCCAUUCAGUACAUUCUCAGGAAACCCUUAACAACAUGCCAGAUAAAGGGCCAAGCCCAUACCCAACCAUGAGACCAAUAAAAUAAGCCAGAACGGUGUCACUAAACUUCUUAGAGGACUAGGACCUUUUAAGGCAAUUGGCCAAUAUGACAUACCAGCCUUCAUCUGUUGACUGUACCAACUAUCAAUGGAUCAGGAAUCAGUAUCAGAAGAUUUGAGGACAGCCAACAUCAGCCCAGUCUUUUAGAAAGGUGAAAAACACUCGGCAGCAAACUAUCGUCCAGUGACCCUGACAUCAAUUACAUGUAAGCUACUAGAGCACAUAGUCCACAGUACUAUAUACUAUGGAUCACUUUGACAGAAACACCAUACUGUGCGAUGAGCAACAUGGGUUUAGAACCAAACGAUCAAGUGAGUCCAAGCUGCUAAUAACAAUACAUGAAAUAGCUAAGAACAUAGAGGACAACGACCAGGCAGACAUCAUCUUGUUAGACUUCGCCAAGGCCUUUGAUAAGGUACCAAAUGCCAGACUGCUUCACAAAAUGGACUACUACGGGGUAAGAGAUAUCAAAAUCGAAUGAGUUAGACAGUUCCUGUCCAAUACAACACAGUCUGUGAUCCUUGAAAAUCAUAAGUCUGACCCUCUUGACGUGGUAUCCGGAGUACCCCAGGGCACUGUGAUGGGUCCUUUACUCUUUCUGGCCUACAUCAACGACCAGAAGCAACAACAUCAAGCGCUGGAGUGUUUGUUGAUGACUGUCUCCUCUUCCGACGCAUCAGGAAAACAGAAGAUUCAGAUUUGCUGCAGAUAGAUCUCGCGUCGUUGAAAGUGUGGAAAAGGGAGUGGCAAAUGUGUUCCCAUCCAGAAAAAUGUACAGUCAGCAGUGUUUCAGGACGACGGCAACAACACCAGACGUCCUACUCACUUCAUGGACAUACACUAGAAACAGUAGACAGUGGGAAAUAUCUUGGGCUCACCAUCAGCAAAGAUCUCACCUAGACAAACCACAUCAACCAGACCAUAGGGAAAGCCUCCAAGAUACUCGGGUUCUUGUGGAGAAAUCUGGGUAGGUGUACUCCAGCAACAAAAGCCACAGCAUACUCCACCUUAGUAAGACCUACUCUAGAAUAUGGCUGCCAAUAAUAUCAUUAUUGUUUGACGUAAAUUUUACAUUGAGGUUCUGCAAAAGGAAAUCACGAAUUCACCAACAUUCCAACUGACUCCGUUUUCGGAAAAUGACAUCUGUAACAAACAUAAACCUUUAGCUACCUCACAACAAGCAGAACCGAAUAAUAUGAAAGUUCAAACUAUGUACUGGCUUCCGAAGCUGCACAAAACACCUUACAAAUAUAGAUUUAUUUUGUCUUCAAACCAUUGUUCCACUACUAAAUUGUCAAUUCUAAUUACUAGUACA